rnacentral:lncRNA from 1 species
CCCGCUCCGCCGCCGCGGGGUCCGGAGCGCCUCGGGCCGGGCGGAGCGGCGGCGGCGGGGUUACAUAGAGCCCCGGCUACACGCCCAGUGCCGUGUGUGCGGCCGGGGAGGGAAGGAUGGAUCUUGGCACUACGCGUGGAAAGAGCCGCUCAUCCGCGGGGAGGAUAUCCUUAAAAAAAAAAAAAAAAAAAAAAAAAAAAAAAAAAAAAUCACUGCGUGUUGUGGAGUCGCUGUUUCAGAGGAGAGCGGCUUAGCUUGAAAGCUGAUGCGCUGCCCUUUCGCUCCUUCAGCUGCCCUUGGAUGGGUUGUGGAAGGCGGGACUGCCAAGAGCGCUCUCUCUCCGGUCAAGGGUUACCCCAGGCUGUUGGCAUGGGCUCAGAAGCGAAAGGGUAGAAAAGCCUUGUGGAGGUCACGGGAGAGGACCUGCAUUGAAUCAGCUCUGGCAGUGCUCCUGUGGCAGUGUCAUGAUCUCUAAUACUCCAUCUGCAAAGCCUCUGAUGCUGCUUCUUCAGCUGUGCACCGUUUGAUCAGGGAGCUCCAAAGUGCCUCUGCACCCCAUCAGCAGGGCUGCUGUGUCCCUCUCCUGACUCACAACUGCCCUUGCAAAAAUUGUUCCAUAAGGAACAAAUCCUAAGAGAAAAAUGUUUGAGUUUUUUUUGUUGUUUUGUUUUUGUUUUACUCAAGCCAAGUAGUCCCAAGUGUGGACUCUGAUCAGAGUGAAAUUCCAGAAGGGUGCAUUUGUGAUGGUUGCCUUUACAAAGCCAUUAUGGCAGUGGAAUCAUAGAAUCAUUAGGCUGAGAAAGAACCUCAAGAUCACUGAGUCCAGCCAUUAACCCAGCACUGCCAAGUCCAGCAAUAAACCAUGUCCCUAAGUGCCA